UUUGCUUUUUUUUUUUUUUAAUACUAAAGGGAUUUGUUUGCUAUUACAAUCAAGGAUUGAUUCAUUGGACUUUGGAACUGUAUCCUAUAUCGCAAUCAAUGCAUGAACCGCAUGUCAUCUGUCACAUGGAUGAUGGACCUACAGAAUUAUCCAGUAUGACCCCACUUGGCUUAUCACAAUUUCUAAUGUGCUGUUUUCGUGGCUAGCGCAUAGGUGUGCUGUGUGUGGAUCUGUGGUGUUCUUUUUUAUAAUCAAUUAAUCACAUCAUGUUACGGCGAUUGUAACGUUUUCUGUUAACUAUGCCGACAAUCACGGUGCUAUUUUCAAGAUAAACAGCAAUUAGAAAAAAGAAAAAUGAUGGACAACAAUCAAGGUGUUGACCGUGACACUGGUGAAAUUGUGUACAUGUUUGUCUUGGUAUUAAUAUUAUUGUUUAAGAGAAUCCUAAUGCAUGCUUAUGGAUAAAUCUUGCAACAUGGCAAUGCAGAAACUGAGUUGGGUCUUAUUAUGUUGCUGACUCACUUUACAAGUACUUGUUGCAUUAUUAUUUUUUUUAAAAUUUUUGAAACUUAAAUGAAGAUUUCCUUGCUAUGGCAAAGAGACAUCAGUCCAAAAAAUACCUCCAGAUCCAGAUUAUUUGGAUGGUUAGUUAUCUGGAUUUGAAUGUGUUUCAAAUGAGUGGUUGAUAUUUUAUCAAAAAUCAGGUUUAGAAUUUUAGGAUUGGAUAAUGAAAGCUCAAUUAUUGAUUUUGAAUUCAAUUACUGGGAUUAUAUAAAAGUAAUAGGUAUGCAUAACUUUAGGAGGAUUUCAAUCUUAGUUUUCGAUAUGGGGGACAAAUUAUUUACAUUCUGAGCACAGCCCUCCAACUGAUGAACUAACUAAAUUCAAGAUAUGCUCAAUGGUAAUGUGAAAGCUUGAUAUGCUCCAAUGCCGUAGGAUCAACUAGUUAAAUGUCACUAUUGUCGCCAAACCUCUCUCUUUUCGUGUGACUAUGAAAAUCUUGGUGUUUCUUUCUUUCUCUCUUUUCUUGUGUAUGUGCUUACUCCUAUUGAAACUCAAAUUUGAGAUUCAUCAUCAGCCCAUUCCAGAGCUAAAGCGAUCAAUUUUAUGUGUUUAAUUAUUUGUAUAUUAAAGUUAAUCUUGAGUAUUUGCACCUUGACAAACACUAAAAGUUCAUUUGUGCAUGAUUUGAGAAUAGUAGAUUGUUUAACUCUAGUUGAGUUAGCAUGAUUUGAUUUACUCUGCAUAAAGUACGUGUAGCUGGAUGUAUGAGCUUUGGCUACAUGAAAGGUUACUCAAACAAAAAACUAUUGGGGAAAUAGUUGCUUGUUAUAUUGCUAGUGGUGAUUUCAGAAAAUUCAUUCACUUAAUGGCUGAUAUAUUUGAUUAUCCUGAUAAAUGAAAGAACCAGAUAAACUAUGAUCACCGUUUGGGUCCUUAUCCUUUCUUGAUCUUCCCUAUUUUGAAGUUUUCUUGAGGAUGUUUGCCCAGUUGUGAAUUAUAUUGUUUCUAUCCUAAAAGCUUGAUCAAGUAACAGAGAUUAUAAAAGGGCUUGGUUGUAGUGUUUGUCUCCUGGAUUCCUCUUUGAAAUUGAUGCCUAUGCACGGUUUGAUUUAUUACCCAAUCCCUUCAAUGCUUUCAUCCUAUGUUAUACAUGCAUGCCUUGUCAUGGAACAAAUGAUUCUUCAUCUUUUUCAUUCUUGGCAACUGCCAUCACAGUGCUUAUCAUUUGUUGCUUAUAACUUAUUUAAAUGCGGACAGGUUCAAGAUCCACUAGAGCGAAG
rnacentral:misc_RNA from 1 species